AUACGGAGGGUGCAAGCGUUGUUCGGAAUUAUUGGGCGUAAAGAGCAUGUAGGCGGACUGUUAAGUCUGGUGUGAAAGCCCGGGGCUCAACCCCGGAAGUGCAUUGGAUACUGGCAGUCUUGAGUAUGGGAGAGGAAAGUGGAAUUCCGAGUGUAGGAGUGAAAUCCGUAGAUAUUCGGAGGAACACCAGUGGCGAAGGCGGCUUUCUGGACCAAUACUGACGCUGAGAUGUGAAAGCGUGGGGAGCAAACAGGAUUAGAAACCCUAGUAGUCC
rnacentral:rRNA from 1 species